GUGCCAGCCGCCGCGGUAAUACGGAGGAUGCGAGCGUUAUCCGGAUUUAUUGGGUUUAAAGGGUGCGCAGGCGGCGUGCCAAGUCAGCGGUCAAAGUUCCGGGCUCAACCCGGUGAUGCCGUUGAAACUGGUGUGCUUGAGUGCGUGCGAGGGAGGCGGAAUGCGUUGUGUAGCGGUGAAAUGCAUAGAUAUGACGCAGAACUCCGAUUGCGAAGGCAGCUUUCCAGCACGCCACUGACGCUGAGGCACGAAAGCGUGGGGAUCGAACAGGAUUAGAUACCCUGGUAGUCCGCACAGUAAACGAUGAAUACUUGCUUUUGGCGAUACACUGUCAGAGGCAAAGCGAAAGCGAUAAGUAUUCCACCUGGGGAGUACGCCGGCAACGGUGAAACUCAAAUGAAUUGACGG
rnacentral:rRNA from 1 species